GUUUUCCUACGCCGCGCGCACUGUUGGUCGUCAUAACUACUAAACUACAGCUACUAGGGCAAGUGUGGUAUCAUUUUCGGAUAAAUAAAAGAUGGCCAAUCAUUUUCUAAAACAAAAAAAAAUACCUUUACUUAGAAAAAAAUUGAAAUACGGCCCAAAAUCUAAAAUCUUUUGAGUAAAAAAAAUCUUUCAAGGUCAAUAAAUUUUUAAUGAUUACCGAUAUCGGAUUAAAAAAAUUAUAUUUAAAAAGCGCAUUAAUACAGAUUCCAAAAAUGUAAGUUACAUUGAAAAUAUUUAAGAAAAAGUUCGUUUAAAAAAAUAUAGAACACCGCGCGGCAGAGUCGUAAAAAAUUCUUAGCCAAUUAUGAACAUCAAAAACGAGUUUUAUAGGUUGCUAGUGUCCUGUAAGCUGUAACUAAUAAGGAUGGAGUUUUCAUUAGAUAUAGUAUAUCAUCAUAUCAGCUCAUAUAUACGUCCCCACCGAGGGGCUCGAGCCUACCCUGCAUUAGGGUGAUCGGGCCUUAGUCGAUCACGCGAGCCCAGUGCGGGUUGGUCGACUUCACACACAAGCUUCGAGUUUCCUCGCAGCCGUGUGCAGGUUUCCUCACGAUGUUUUCCUUCACCGUAAGAGCGUCGAAUAAACGUACAUAUGAAAUCGAGAUUCGAAAACACAUUGGUAUGCGGCCAGGAUUCGAACCACGACCUCCCGCACAGGAGGUAGCGGUCUUAAGCAUUACGCCACCGACGCUCUCUAUAUAUAGUAUAUAGCUCAAUUUUAAUAAUUAUUUGAUAGAAGACAUUUUUUAUCGUGUGUCUAAGCAUAUUUAAACUUAUGGCUCAGCUGGGCACGAUUUCAAGUGACCCAAAAUCUAUAAAGAAAUUAAACAAACAGUAUAGAAUUUUACUUAAAAAUGUUUAUUAUUUACAUUGUCCCCCACAAUCUCAAAGCUCCGUGCACUUAAGUUGCCGCUGAAAGCACCGGCACCUCGAGCCGCCGCACCUCUUUUUGCAUCUGCACCGGAUCAUUUCCAGGCAUGCAUCUGCAGCUACGGGCAAGUCUGUCCAUGUAGGUUGCCAGCUUUCACUGACUUUUCUCCAUCCCCAGUUAGAUGGACAGGGAAGAUUUUGAUUCGGUGACAUCUGACCCCAUACAUGGACUGCUUGGAACACUGCCCGCAGGAAAUGCUGGUAUAGAGCAGCUUUCGUCGGAGGUAUAUUCUCCAAUUGGCGGUCUUUUUUCGAGAAUAGGUGCUUUCGGGCUUCGUUUACAGUUGUAAAUGAACUGGCUCUAAAACAAAACAAAAAAAUUAGUUACUAGACUAUUUUAUUGUAUUGCUAGUUUUAAAAAGUGCUUAUUACCUGUCAUAUAAAAUGACGACAAACUUUUCGAUUAUAAAUUGUAUUUAUCUACGUUACGCCCUAGCCACUAGCUAGAAUAGAAUAGAAUGCACUGAGACUAUAACGCUAGGCGGGCUAUAUAAAACAUAUUAUUUUCUUUUACAGGGCCACAAAAAGCGAAACUCCUCCCCCUGUUCCAUGCCUUCACAGGUUGUGAUACUGUGUCCUAUUUUAACGGGAAAGGAAAAAAAAGUGCAAUAGAUGCAUGGAACGCAUUUCCCAAUGCCACAGAAGGGUUUCUGGCAGCAUAUGAGGGGAGUACUAGCGAGGCGUUUACAGUAAUCGAAAAGUUUGUCGUCAUUUUAUAUGACAGAGCCAGUUCAUUUACAACCGUAAACGAAGCCCGAAAGCACCUAUUCUCGAAAAAAGACCGCCAAUUGGAGAAUAUACCUCCGACGAAAGCUGCUCUAUACCAGCAUUUCCUGCGGGCAGUGUUCCAAGCAGUCCAUGUAUGGGGUCAGAUGUCACCGAAUCAAAAUCUUCCCUGUCCAUCUAACUGGGGAUGGAGAAAAGUCAGUGAAAGCUGGCAACCUACAUGGACAGACUUGCCCGUAGCUGCAGAUGCAUGCCUGGAAAUGAUCCGGUGUAGAUGCAAAAAGAGGUGCGGCGGCUCGAGGUGCCGGUGCUUUCAGCGGCAACUUAAGUGCACGGAGCUUUGCGAUUGUGGGGGACAAUGUAAAUAAUAAACAUUUUUAAGUAAAA